rnacentral:rRNA from 1 species
UUUUCGGACACUGAGAGGACUGUUUAGUGGCGGACGGGUGAGUAACGCGUGAGUAACCUGCCUUGGAGUGGGGAAUAACCCAGAGAAAUUUGUGCUAAUACCGCAUAAUGCAGCUGAGUCGCAUGGCUCUGGCUGCCAAAGAUUUAUCGCUCUGAGAUGGACUCGCGUCUGAUUAGCUAGUUGGCGGGGUAACGGCCCACCAAGGCGACGAUCAGUAGCCGGACUGAGAGGUUGGCCGGCCACAUUGGGACUGAGACACGGCCCAAACUCCUACGGGAGGCAGCAGUGGGGAAUAUUGCACAAUGGGCGCAAGCCUGAUGCAGCGACGCCGCGUGAGCGAAGAAGUAUUUCGGUAUGUAAAGCUCUAUCAGCAGGGAAGAAAAUGACGGUACCUGACUAAGAAGCUCCGGCUAAAUACGUGCCAGCAGCCGCGGUAAUACGUAUGGAGCAAGCGUUAUCCGGAAUUACUGGGUGUAAAGGGAGCGUAGACGGACUUGCAAGUCUGAUGUGAAAGGCGGGGGCUCAACCCCUGGACUGCAUUGGAAACUGUAGGUCUUGAGUGCCGGAGAGGUAAGCGGAAUUCCUAGUGUAGCGGUGAAAUGCGUAGAUAUUAGGAGGAACACCAGUGGCGAAGGCGGCUUACUGGACGGUAACUGACGUUGAGGCUCGAAAGCGUGGGGAGCAAACAGGAUUAGAUACCCUGGUAGUCCACGCGGUAAACGAUGAAUACUAGGUGUUGGGGAGCAAAGCUCUUCGGUGCCGCAGCAAACGCAAUA